AAAAAAUUAGUUAAAAUAUAACAUUAGUAUGUCAAACUGAAAUUACUGAAUUAAUUAGUAUUUUUUA
rnacentral:tRNA from 2 species